rnacentral:rRNA from 12 species
UGCCUAAAAGCUUCCAAGAAAAACCUCUAAGCUUCAGAUUAUAAGAACCCGUACCGUAAACCGACACAGGUAGUUGGGUUGAGAAUUCUAAGGUGCUCGAGAGAUUCAUGGCUAAGGAACUAGGCAAAAUAGACCUGUAACUUCGGGAGAAAGGUCGCCCCGCUUUACGGCGGGGCCGCAGUGAAAAGGUCCAGGCGACUGUUUAUCAAAAACACAGGGCUUUGCUAAAUUGAAAGAUGAUGUAUAAGGCCUGACACCUGCCCGGUGCUGGAAGGUUAAGUGGAGUUGUUAGCUUCGGCGAAGCAAUGAAAUGAAGCCCCAGUAAAC